rnacentral:rRNA from 1 species
UACGUAGGGUGCGAGCGUUGUCCGGAAUUACUGGGCGUAAAGGGCGCGUAGGCGGCCUGUUAAGUCGGACGUGAAAUCCCUCGGCUCAACCGGGGAACUGCGUCCGAAACUGGCGGGCUUGAAUUCGGGAGAGGGAUGUGGAAUUCCAGGUGUAGCGGUGAAAUGCGUAGAUAUCUGGAGGAACACCGGUGGCGAAGGCGGCAUCCUGGACCGACAUUGACGCUGAGGCGCGAAAGCCAGGGGAGCAAACGGG